ACUUGCUAACAGGUAGAGGGAUCCAAGAGGAAUUAAUCUUCAUUAAAGGUCUUCAAGCAGAAUCUGGACAACCUCUUGUCAGCCACCAGAUUUGAAGAGCAACAUUGAAAAUCUAGAGUAUCUACAGGAUGCCAGGUGUCCAGAAGGGGCUUAUCAACUUUGAAUCAUCUAAUUCACAGUUCACAGGGAUAUAAGAUUUAGAGCUGGAAGGGACUUUAAAGAUUAUCAAGGCUUUCCACCAAGAUGGAACCAAAGGUGAAGAAGGAAGCAGUUGUACCCUCCAAGACAGAAGCUAAGUCCAAGGCCUUGAAGGCCAAGAAGGCAGUGUUGAAGGGUGUUCAUAGCCACAAAAAGAAGACAAUCCAAAUGUCCCCUACAUUCUGGUGACCCAAGACACUAAGUCUUCAAUGGCAGUCCAAAAACCCACAGAAAAAGGGCUCCUCAGAGGAACAAGCUUGACCACUAUGCCAUCACUAAGUUUCCCUUGACCACUGAGUCCACUAGGAAGAUUGAAGACAGCAACACCCUGGUCUUCACUGUGGAUGUCAAAGCCAACAAGCAUCAGAUCAAGCAGGCCGUAAAGAAGCUGUAUGACACCGACGGACAUCAGUGUGGCCAAGGUCAAUAUGCUGAUCUGGCCUGUUGGAGAGAAGAAGGCCUAUGUCCAACUUGCUCUAGACUAUAAUGCUUUAGAUGUUGCCAACAAAAUUGGAAUCAUCAAAACUGUGUCCAGCUAUCCCACUCUACUUACAAUGAAAAGUUUUCCAGGUAAAAAAAAAAAAAGGUUAUGAGUUCCAAUCUUUCAAUCGCCUCCUUUUUAUAGAUGGAGAAC